UCCCGUAAAUAGGUGACAGCUACACUAAGG
rnacentral:piRNA from 1 species